GACGAACGCUUGCGGCGUGCUUAACACAUGCAAGUCGAACGGAAAGGCCCUGCUUUUGUGGGGUGCUCGAGUGGCGAACGGGUGAGUAACACGUGAGUAACCUGCCCUUGACUUUGGGAUAACUUCAGGAAACUGGGGCUAAUACCGGAUAGGAGCUCCUGCUGCAUGGUGGGGGUUGGAAAGUUUCGGCGGUUGGGGAUGGACUCGCGGCUUAUCAGCUUGUUGGUGGGGUAGUGGCUUACCAAGGCUUUGACGGGUAGCCGGCCUGAGAGGGUGACCGGCCACAUUGGGACUGAGAUACGGCCCAGACUCCUACGGGAGGCAGCAGUGGGGAAUAUUGCACAAUGGGCGGAAGCCUGAUGCAGCAACGCCGCGUGCGGGAUGACGGCCUUCGGGUUGUAAACCGCUUUCGCCUGUGACGAAGCGUGAGUGACGGUAAUGGGUAAAGAAGCACCGGCUAACUACGUGCCAGCAGCCGCGGUGAUACGUAGGGUGCGAGCGUCGUCCGGAUUUAUUGGGCGUAAAGGGCUCGUAGGUGGUUGAUCGCGUCGGAAGUGUAAUCUUGGGGCUUAACCCUGAGCGUGCUUUCGAUACGGGUUGACUUGAGGAAGGUAGGGGAGAAUGGAAUUCCUGGUGGAGCGGUGGAAUGCGCAGAUAUCAGGAGGAACACCAGUGGCGAAGGCGGUUCUCUGGGCCUUUCCUGACGCUGAGGAGCGAAAGCGUGGGGAGCGAACAGGCUUAGAUACCCUGGUAGUCCACGCUGUAAACGGUGGGUACUAGGUGUGGGGUCCAUUCCACGGGUUCCGUGCCGUAGCUAACGCUUUAAGUACCCCGCCUGGGGAGUACGGCCGCAAGGCUAAAACUCAAAGGAAUUGACGGGGCCCCGCACAAGCGGCGGAGCAUGCGGAUUAAUUCGAUGCAACGCGUAGAACCUUACCUGGGUUUGACAUGGAUCGGGAGUGCUCAGAGAUGGGUGUGCCUCUUUUGGGGUCGGUUCACAGGUGGUGCAUGCCUGCCGUCAGCUCGUGUCGUGAGAUGUUGGGUUAAGUCCCGCAACGGGCGCAACCCUUGUUCACUGUUGCCAGCACGUUAUGGUGGGGACUCAGUGGAGACCGCCGGGGUCAACUCGGAGGAAGGUGGGGAUGACGUCAAGUCCUCAUGCCCCUUAUGUCCAGGGCUUCACGCAUGCUACAAUGGCUGGUACAGAGAGUGGCGAGCCUGUGAGGGUGAGCGAAUCUCGGAAAGCCGGUCUCAGUUCGGAUUGGGGUCUGCAACUCGACCUCAUGAAGUCGGAGUCGCUAGUAAUCGCAGAUCAGCAACGCUGCGGUGAAUACGUUCCCGGG
rnacentral:rRNA from 1 species